AUUGAACGCUGGCGGCAGGCCUAACACAUGCAAGUCGAACGAGUGGCGGACGGGUGAGUAAGGUCUGGGAAACUGACCGAUGGAGGGGGAUAACUCCUGGAAAAGGUAGCUAAUACCGCAUACCAUCGGAUGUGCCCAGAUGGGAUAAGCUAGUAGGGGGGGUAACGGCUCAACUAGGCGACGAUCCCUAGCUGGGCUGAGAGGAUGACCAGCCACACUGGAACUGAGACACGGUCCACGCUCCAACGGGAGGCAGCAGUGGGGAAGAGUGCACAAGGGGCGCAAGCCUGAUGCAGCCAUGCCGCGUGUAUGAAGAAGGCCUUCGGGUUGUAAAGUACUUUCAGCGAGGAGGCGUUACUCGCAGAAGAAGCACCGGCUAACUCCGUGCCAGCAGCCGCGGUAAUAC
rnacentral:rRNA from 1 species